rnacentral:rRNA from 1 species
UACAGAGGGGGCAAGCGUUGUUCGGAAUUACUGGGCGUAAAGGGCGCGUAGGCGGCCUUCUAAGUCGAACGUGAAAUCCCCGGGCUCAACCCGGGAACUGCGUCCGAUACUGGAAGGCUUGAAUCCGGGAGAGGGAUGCGGAAUUCCAGGUGUAGCGGUGAAAUGCGUAGAUAUCUGGAGGAACACCGGUGGCGAAGGCGGCAUCCUGGACCGGCAUUGACGCUGAGGCGCGAAAGCCAGGGGAGCAAACGGGAUAGAUACCCCUGU